GCCUUUUAAAGAACUGAGUUUAAUGUGUGAAUUAAGAAGUUGCACAGAAAGAAGGAAUAAAUAUACGGAUAGGGGGCAACCCUGCCUCACUCCACGCUUUAGAGAGAAUCUUGGGAAGUACCAGUGGCAAGCUUUAUGGAGCUGUUACUAUUGGAAUACAGUGUCCGAACGGCAUUACAGAAGGACUGACCAAACCCAAAUUUAUUUAAAGCAGUAAAAAUAAACUCAUGCUCUAAGGAGUCAAACGCCUUAUAAAAGUCUAAAAAAAGAAUAAGACUAUCAUCCUGUACAAGUUCUGGGUAAUCUAUUAUAUCUAAAAUUAAUCUUAUGUUGUUUGAGAUAUGACGAUUCUGCAUGAAACCAGACUGACUCUCAUCAAUAACUUUAUCUAAUACAGGUUUCAUUCUAUUAGCCAGAAUUUGUGCCAAUAUCUUAUAAUCAUUAUUCAGUAAAGAGAUUGGUCGCCAGUUGUCUAAGAGCAAAGGAUCCUUUCCUGGUUUUGGAAUGAGGGUGAUCAAACCUUGACAUAAAGUGGGAGGGAGUGCACCUCUAUCCAUACUUUCCUUAAAAACUUCUAAAAGAAAUGGGGCUAAACUGUCAGCGAACUGUUUGUAAAACUCGGCAGGAAGGCCGUCAGUUCCAGGUGAUUUGUUAAUCUUUAGAUGUUUUAUAGCAUCUGCAACCUCGAUCAAAGAAAUUGAUCUGUCGCAGAGCUGACUAUCCUCCUCAUUCAGCUGAGUAAUUUUGUCUAAAGAAUUAAAAAAAGUUAGACAAGCUUGUUGCUACAAAAUGUAUUAUCUGUGAGAGCUUUAUUCCAAUAAAGUUUAAUGAAUCUCUGAACUUCACAAAUCACUUCUUUAUGCUCAAGAAUGGUACUAUUUAGCUUCCAGUAAGAGGUUUUAGUGAUUAGGGAGGAUGACAACAGGAUUGAUAAACUAACCAUUUUGUGGUCUGAGAGUGGUGUAGGAUAAAUAUCUGUUUUAACUUUUUCUAAAUCUUUUGAGAUAAGCCAAAACUCGAUACGUGAGUGUCUGGUUUGAGUCUUAUUACACCAUGUAUAAGCUAUCUGAGAUGAAUGAGAAUCCCUCCAAGAAUCGAUUAAGUUGAAUCUUUGUGCAAAGAGUCUUAUGAAUGAGUUAGAGUCUGAACUUCUAGAAGACAAUCUGUCCAAAUAGCUGUUAAACACUGUAUUAAAGUCUCCACCAAAAUAAUGAAAGAAUUGGGAUAUUUAGAUAACCAGCGCAGUAGGCGCUCCUCCAACCUAUCAAAAUAUAGUUUAUUCUCCCUCUGACAGUUAAAACCAUACACAUUGACUAAAAUAUAGAUAGACUGAGCAGCCUCAACUAUUAGAAAAAUGUAAUGACCAUCUUUAUCUAUGUCAGAAUUCAAGAUUUUACCAUUAAAUCUUCCUUUAAGUAUGCAAACACCAGCAGCACGCUCUGUACCAUGGGACAUCCACAGAUCAUCUCCCCAUUGCGAUCUCCAAAAUGUUUUUUCUUGUUCUGUUGAAUGAGACUCUUGUAUAAAACAGAAAUCUGAGUUGAACUGCUUGCAAAACAAAAAAAUAGCCUUGCGUUUAACAUUGUUUCUUAAACCUCUUGCAUUUAAAGAAAUAACAGACAGAGACAUAAGGAUAGUAACAAAAAUUAAAAGUGACAAAUAAGAAAAAGCUUAGACCAAGUAAAUGAAGAACAGUUGAAUUGGGAACCUGGUCACUUAAGAGAGUCCUAUAUAAGAUGAGAACUGCAACCCCUGAGUAAGGAAAUUGUGAACUUGAAUAAUAAGAAGAAUACAAUAGUCUAAAACAAUAAAACCAAUGUGGUAAAAAAAAAAAAAAAAGAUAAAAAAAAUAAACGCUUCACAUAUGAGCAUUGAAAGGGAGCUUAUUAGAAAUUUACUUGCUCCAUUUAAAUAACUAAUUAUUCAAAAAAGAAUAAACUAAAAAGAAGCUUAUUCAGCUUGCUCAUAAUAUUUUCAACAAAAAUAUUGCAGCCAAACUCAAGACCAAUAAACUUAUAACAAAUAAACUGCAUCAAUUUAACUCUGAUCAUUUUAUGAGUCCAACAACAAAAACAAAAGAAAGAAAAAAGAACGGCAGUGAAACCAAGUUAAUCUUAAGAUACUUCAGUUUUCACCUCAAAAUACCUUGGAUCAAAUUAUAGGGGUGGAAAAAUCUCUUUUCCCUCCACUAAUGCACGACCUCCUACGAAGAACGCCAGCUUGUUUUCUUUGCGGGCCAGAGUCUGUUUCUUCGGGCGCGGUCGUCAGGGGACAGAUCCUCAGCCAGCUUUAAGUUGUUACCUUUCAGGUAGGUGGACUUCUUAGCAGCGCGCCAGACAGCAUCGCGGUGGAUCCUGGAUGUAAACUGAAUGAUGAUUCCCCCGGGUUGGUUGUUGUUGGAUUUCUUGGGACCGAUGCGGUGGACGGUGUCAACGACGUCGGGGAAUUUAUCUUGCAUCUCCGGUAGGACCGAUCUACAGACUUUGAUCAUCUCCUGCCGCACGUCCUGCUUGUCCCUCUCGGUCAGACCGUAGAGCUUCAGAUUCCAACGGCGUGAAUAGCUCUCCAGGUGAGAGAUGCGCUUUUCCUGUGCUUCAGCUAUUGCUUUAUAUUUUUCGAGCUGUGCUUCAACGCUGACAACUCUGCUCUUCAUAUCAUUUAACUCGACACAGACAACAUCAAAUGACUCCUUAACAGCUGUGAUGUGUUCAGUGUUCUCUUGGACAGCUUUUUUCAUCUCGGAGAUGACUAUGGAGUUGUCACUCACCAUUUUUUCAAGAGUGUCCGACCUCGAGUUAAUCAACAUGGUUACCAGAGUCAGCUGGGGAUUCAUGAACAUCAUCAGUGAUGUUUCUCCACAGCGGGCUCAUCAGUACCUGGUGACAGAAGGUCAAUCCAGCUCUGACUUGAGGCUGUUCAAGAAUCAGCUCCACUUGAUCUGGUUCCACCUCUACCACAGGCAGAGAAACACAGGGUGAGAUCUUCUCCUGCCAGUCAUCACGCUAUAACUGUUUCUAGAAUCGAUUCAAUUCAGAUUCACGAGGUCCCGAAUCGAUCGAUUUGAUCAGGG
ensembl:lncRNA